GACAGAGGGUGCAAACGUUGUUCGGAUUUACUGGGCGUAAAGCGCGUGUAGGCGGCUUUGCAAGUCGGAUGUGAAAGCCCACGGCUCAACCGUGGAAGUGCAUCCGAAACUGCAUGGCUGGAGUCUCGGAGAGGAAGGUGGAAUGCUUGGUGUAGAGGUGAAAUUCGUAGAUAUCAAGCAGAACACCUGCGGCGAAAGGCGGCCUU
rnacentral:rRNA from 1 species